GAUGCAACGCGAAGAACCUUACCUAGGUUUGACAUCCACGGAACCCUCCCGAAAAGGAGGGGUGCCCUUCGGGGAGCCGUGUGACAGGUGCUGCAUGGCUGUCGACAGCUCGUGUCGUGAGAUGUUGGGUUAAGUCCCGCAACGAGCGCAACCCCUAUGGAUAGUUGCCAGCAAGUAAUGUUGGGCACUCUAUUCAGACUGCCCGGGUUAACCGGGAGGAAGGUGGGGACGACGUCAAGUCAUCAUGGCCCUUACGCCUAGGGCUACACACGUACUACAAUGGCACGCACAAAGGGGAGCGAGACCGCGAGGUGGAGCCAAUCCCAAAAAACGUGUCCCAGUCCGGAUUGCAGUCUGCAACUCGACUGCAUGAAGUUGGAAUCGCUAGUAAUUCGAGAUCAGCAUGCUCGGGUGAGUGCGUUCCCGGGCCUUGUACACACCGCCCGUCACACCACGAAAGUCGGUUUUACCCGAAGCCGGUGAGCCAACCAGCAAUGGAGGCAGCCGUCUACGGUAGGGCCGAUGAUUGGGGUGAAGUCGUAACAAGGUAGCCGUAGGGGAACC
rnacentral:rRNA from 1 species